rnacentral:sRNA from 1 species
AGCCUCUGAGGGAUACAGGAAAAUCUAACCUCAAAGAGAAGAAAGAGAAAUUUUGUGUCGAUAUGGGGCUCCAAACAUACGUGUUGAGUUUUGCAGGAUGAAUUAGAAAACCGUUCUAAUCAGGUGCGAUGUGCAGAGAAAAAAUUACAACACAAAGAAUUGGAGUCACAGGAACAGAUAACUUACAUACGACAAGAAUAUGAAACAAAAUUGAAAGGAUUGAUGCCAGCAUCCCUAAGACAAGAACUUGAAGACACCAUUUCCUCCCUAAAAUCACAGGUUAAUUUUCUGCAAAAGAGAGCUUCCAUCCUUCAAGAAGAACUGACUACAUAUCAAGGCAGAAGGUAACUGCACGAGAGAAUGCAAUGGAUGCAGUUUCCAGGCUGCGCUGUGGACUUCUUCCAGCAGGUUUGAAGAUUUGGAUAUUGUAAACUGUGAGAUCAGUGGCAUUUUUUAAGUCCUUAAAUGUAAUUAAGAUCAUAAAAACAUGCAUCAUUCAUACA